CGCUGGCGGCGUGCCUAAUACAUGCAAGUCGAACGAUUAAGCUCUAGCUUGCUAGAGUGGAAUAGUGGCGCACGGGUGAGUAAUGCAUAGAUAACAUGCCCUUUAGUCUAGGAUAGCCCUUGGAAACGAUGAUUAAUACUGGAUACUCCUUACGAGGGAAAGUUUUUUCGCUAAAGGAUUGGUCUAUGUCCUAUCAGCUUGUUGGUGAGGUAAUGGCUCACCAAGGCUAUGACGGGUAUCCGGCCUGAGAGGGUGAACGGACACACUGGAACUGAGACACGGUCCAGACUCCUACGGGAGGCAGCAGUAGGGAAUAUUGCUCAAUGGGGGAAACCCUGAAGCAGCAACGCCGCGUGGAGGAUGAAGGUUUUCGGAUUGUAAACUCCUUUUGUUAGAGAAGAUAAUGACGGUAUCUAACGAAUAAGCACCGGCUAACUCCGUGCCAGCAGCCGCGGUAAUACGGAGGGUGCAAGCGUUACUCGGAAUCACUGGGCGUAAAGAGCGCGUAGGCGGGAUAGCAAGUCAGAUGUGAAAUCCUAUGGCUUAACCAUAGAACUGCAUUUGAAACUGUUAUUCUAGAGUAUGGGAGAGGUAGGUGGAAUUCUUGGUGUAGGGGUAAAAUCCGUAGAGAUCAAGAGGAAUACUCAUUGCGAAGGCGACCUGCUAGAACAUAACUGACGCUGAUGCGCGAAAGCGUGGGGGGCAAACAGGAUUAGAUACCCUGGUAGUCCACGCCCUAAACGAUGAAUGCUAGUUGUUGUGGAGCUUGUCUCUGCAGUAAUGCAGCUAACGCAUUAAGCAUUCCGCCUGGGGAGUACGGUCGCAAGAUUAAAACUCAAAGGAAUAGACGGGGACCCGCACAAGCGGUGGAGCAUGUGGUUUAAUUCGAAGAUACACGAAGAACCUUACCUAGGCUUGACAUUGAUAGAAUCCGCUAGAGAUAGUGGAGUGCUAGCUUGCUAGAACUUGAAAACAGGUGCUGCACGGCUGUCGUCAGCUCGUGUCGUGAGAUGUUGGGUUAAGUCCCGCAACGAGCGCAACCCUCGUCCUUAGUUGCUAACUAUUCGGUAGAGCACUCUAAGGAGACUGCCUUCGCAAGGAGGAGGAAGGUGAGGAUGACGUCAAGUCAUCAUGGCCCUUACGCCUAGGGCUACACACGUGCUACAAUGGGAAGCACAAAGAGAUGCAAUAUUGUGAAAUGGAGCAAAUCUAUAAAACUUCUCUCAGUUCGGAUUGUAGUCUGCAACUCGACUACAUGAAGCUGGAAUCGCUAGUAAUCGUAAAUCAGCUAUGUUACGGUGAAUACGUUCCCGGGUCU
rnacentral:rRNA from 1 species